rnacentral:rRNA from 1 species
GACGAACGCUGGCGGCGUGCCUAAUACAUGCAAGUAGAACGCUGAAGGAAGAGCUUGCCUCUCCGGAUGAGUUGCGCACGGGUGAGUAUCGCGCAGGUAUAACGCCUGGUAGAGGGGGAUAUCACUUGGAAAAGCUAGAUCAUAUAGCAUAUGAGUAGUUGUUGCAUGACAUUUACUUAUAAGGUGCAAUUUUACUACUACCAGAUGGACCUGCGUUGUCUUAGCUAGUUGGUGGGGUAACGGCUUACCAAAGCGACGAUACAUAGCCGACCUGAGAGGGUGAUCGGCCACACUGGGACUGAGACACGGCCCAGACUUCUACGGGAGGCAGCAAGAGGGAAACUUCGGCAAUGGACGGAAGUCUGACCGGGCAACGCCGCGGGAGGGGAGAAGGGUUUCGGAUCGGAAAGCUCUGUUGUAAGGGAAGAACGAAUUGGAGAGGUAAAAGUGCACGCUGUGACGGUAUCUUACCAGAAAGGGACGGCUAACUACGUG